rnacentral:rRNA from 1 species
CCUACGGGGGGCAGCAGUGGGGAAUAUUGCACAACGGGGGAAACCCUGAUGCAGCCAUGCCGCGUGUGUGAAGAAGGCCUUCGGGUUGUAAAGCACUUUCAGCAGCGAGGAAAAGUUAGUAGUUAAUACCUGCUAGCCUUGACGUUAACUGCAGAAGAAGCACCGGCUAACUCCGUGCCAGCAGCCGCGGUAAUACGGAGGGUGCAAGCGUUAAUCGGAAUUACUGGGCGUAAAGCGCAUGCAGGCGGUCUGUUAAGCCAGAUGUGAAAGCCCGGUGCUCAACCCCGGAAUAGCAUUUGGAACUGGCAGACUAGAGUUUUGUAGAGGGGGGUAGAAUUUCAGGUGUAGCGGUGAAAUACGUAAGAUCUGAAGGAAUACCAGUGGCGAAGGCGGCCCCCUGGACAAAAACUGACGCUCAGAUGCGAAAGCGUGGGUAGCAAACAGGAUUAGAUACCCUGGUAGUCCACGCUGUAAACGAUGUCAACUAGCUGCUUGUGACUUUAAGUCGUGGGUGGCGGAGCUAACGCAUUAAGUAGACCGCCUGGGGAGUACGGCCGCAAGGUUAAAACUCAAAUGAAUUGACGGGGGCCCGCACAAGCGGUGGAGCAUGUGGUUUAAUUCGAUGCAACGCGAAGAACCUUACCAUCCCUUGACAUCCAGCGAAUUUUCUAGAGAUAGAUUAGUGCCUUCGGGAACGCUGAGACAGGUGCUGCAUGGCUGUCGUCAGCUCGUGUUGUGAAAUGUUGGGUUAAGUCCCGCAACGAGCGCAACCCUUGUCCUUAUUUGCCAGCACUUCGGGUGGGAACUUUAAGGAGACUGCCGGUGAUAAACCGGAGGAAGGUGGGGACGACGUCAAGUCAUCAUGGCCCUUACGGGAUGGGCUACACACGUGCUACAAUGGUCGGUACAAAGUGCUGCGAGCUCGCGAGAGUCAGCGAAUCACUUAAAGCCGGUCGUAGUCCGGAUUGGAGUCUGCAACUCGACUCCAUGAAGUCGGAAUCGCUAGUAAUCGUAGAUCAGAAUGCUACGGUGAAUACGUUCCCGGGCCUUGUACACACCGCCCGUC